rnacentral:rRNA from 1 species
GACAGAGGGGGCAAGCGUUGCUCGGAAUCACUGGGCGUAAAGAGCUCGUAGGCGGUUUGUCGCGUCUGCUGUGAAAACUCGGGGCUUAACUCCGGGCCUGCAGUGGGUACGGGCAGACUAGAGUGCGGUAGGGGAGACUGGAAUUCCUGGUGUAGCGGUGAAAUGCGCAGAUAUCAGGAGGAACACCGAAGGCGAAGGCAGUGUCCUGGCGAGUAUCCUGACGCUGAGGUGCGAAAGCCAGGGGAGCGAACGGG